UAAAUUCACCCACUGCUUCCGAAUUUGACCAAGAGGAGGCUUGAAGGGCAUUUGUGGAAAUGUUUAUUGGGGAAGAGCUACCAUUUUGCUUCGUUGAAAGCCCAAAAUUCUGAAGAUUUGUGCAUGCCCUACAGGCAAGAUUUAAAGUUCCUUCACAGACUACAUUAGCACGUGUUAUUGGAGCUCUUUAUGCUGAAGAGAAGAUGAAGUUGCAAGAUUUUCUCUCGGCAAAUUGUGGUAGAAAAAAGGAGGCGAAUUGAAGUCAAAGUUGUCCAAGUGCAUAAGGUUACUUUAUUAGCAAUACUAAAGUUCUGAGGAAGCAAGUGAAGCUGAUACGCAAGAUGUUCAAGCCAACAACAUUAAUACCGAUCUUCAUGGCAUGGACUUUUUUCUGCAAGAAACCGGUCAUAGAACAAAUACAAGAUCUGAACUUGAUAGAUAUUUACAAGAAGAAUGCGAGCCAUACUCCCAUAAGUU